UCCCCGGGACACCAGCUGCAACAUAAUCGUUAGAGUCUUCAGGUUUUCCAGGAUUUUUCCAGGACUUAGAAACCAUUGGACAUACUGACAGGAAAAUCUGCAUUUUCAUGUAAUAAAGACGUAAUUGACCGGUGCAAGGAAG